GAAAUGCACUUGGAUGCACUGCAGUGUUUAUGCAGUGACAAGUUGCGGUUCUGUGAUUAUUUUUAUUUAAUUUAAGUAAUAAUUCAUAUUUAUUUUGAUCAGUAAGUAUCCUAAAUAAUUCUUUAAAAAUUAAUAUUUCUAUUAAUUUGAAUGACAAAUUUAAAAAGUUGCCUAAAUAGAGAACUAAAUUUUCGAAGUAUACCUAACCUAAAAAGAGAAGCUAUUGGAGGGGUAGUGUAAAAGUGAUAUAAGCGAAUUUUUAUCUAUAAGCGCGAUGUGUAUAUUACAACAUAUUCAGUUGCAUUAUAAAAAUACAUUAAACAACGAUAAUCUAAUUGAAGUUUGUUGAAUAUUAAAUUUCAUAUUGAAUCAGAAGAAAAUUUUUUAACGAUUCAAAUAUAUUAGAUAAUAUGAAAAACCUAUACUAAUGAGAUGGGAAAGAUAUUACAUAUAAAUAAUAUAAAAAUAUUUGUGGUGAAAAUGUGAACCUGAAAAUUAAAUACUUAUUGAGAUCAUAUAGAGAUGUCUAUUCUGGAUAGUUUGAAGCUAUAUCUUAUUAAGAUAUUAAACGUUAUUAAUGUAAAGUUGUAAUCUAUAAUUCUUUAUGUAUGUAAAUAAUGUAGUAGAAUGUUCAUGUACAUAUAUUUAUUCAUUUGUGGCUUUUCAACUUAAAAAAUUGCAUACGAUCUAUAGUAACCUUUAUCGAGUGGCUAUUUAUCUUUUAGUUACAGUUUCACAAUGCUUUUACCUUGUUUCUUUUCUAAGUACAUUUGAUAUAGAAUAUUGGGUCUUUCAUAUAUUUUUGUAUAUUCUUCAUAUAUAUUCAAAUUAUAUCCAUUUAUCUUAUUUAAUCAGUUUAUUCUAUAUUUUAUAAAAAUGUUUGCAGUUUGUCA